AUUGAACGCUGGCGGCAUGCCUUACACAUGCAAGUCGAACGGCAGCACGGGAGCAAUCCUGGUGGCGAGUGGCGAACGGGUGAGUAAUACAUCGGAACGUGCCCAAUCGUGGGGGAUAACGCAGCGAAAGCUGUGCUAAUACCGCAUACGAUCUACGGAUGAAAGCAGGGGAUCGCAAGACCUUGCGCGAAUGGAGCGGCCGAUGGCAGAUUAGGUAGUUGGUGAGGUAAAGGCUCACCAAGCCGUCGAUCUGUAGCUGGUCUGAGAGGACGACCAGCCACACUGGGACUGAGACACGGCCCAGACUCCUACGGGAGGCAGCAGUGGGGAAUUUUGGACAAUGGGCGAAAGCCUGAUCCAGCCAUGCCGCGUGCAGGAUGAAGGCCUUCGGGUUGCAAACUGCUUUUGUACGGAACGAAACGGCCUUUUCUAAUAAAGAGGGCUAAUGACGGUACCGUAAGAAUAAGCACCGGCUAACUACGUGCCAGCAGCCGCGGUAAUACGUAGGGUGCAAGCGUUAAUCGGAAUUACUGGGCGUAAAGCGUGCGCAGGCGGUUAUGUAAGACAGUUGUGAAAUCCCCCGGGCUCAACCUGGGAACUGCAUCUGUGACUGCAUAGCUAGAGUACGGUAGAGGGGGAUGGAAUUUCGCGUGUAGCAGUGAAAUGCGUAGAUAUGCGGAGGACACCGAUGGCGCAGGGAUCCCCUGGACUGUCUGACCUUUUGCCGAAAGC
rnacentral:rRNA from 1 species